AGAUUCUUCUCAUUUGUUGAGAUCCAUCAUCGUGUCUGUGGGUUUAGCAGCACUCUUGAUAUCUGUUGUUACAGUCAACAUGUGGAUUAAAACUAAAGGGAACAAGACACAGAUGGAAGAAAACACUGUGCAGAAUGAUGGAGGUGAAGGUGAAGGUUCAGUGAUCUAUGAAAACUCUGGAGACCCUUCUGCUUCAGUCAGACUCCACUGAUCAACAAC